GCAGGUUGAACAUUUGCAAGUUAAUCUAUGUGAUUCAUCACAUUAAUAAAACUCAGGAUAAAAAUCAUAUGAUCUAGGGGUGCUGGGGUGGCUCAGUCAGUUAAGCGUCCAACCCUUGAUUUUGGUUCAGGUCAUGAUCUCAUGUUCGUCAGAUCCAGUCCUGCAUUGGGGUCCACACUGGGCAUGGAGCCUGCUUAAGAUUCUCUAUCUCCCUCUCCCUCCACCCCUCACCGGCUCACGUACUUCUCUUUCUCUAAGGAAAAAAAAAAGACAGCACAAAAAUCAUUCCAAGACACAAAAAGGACACUAUAAUAUAACGAUAAAUGUGUGACUAUGAGAUAUAAACAUAUACGGAACUAAUAGCAAAGCCCCAAACUAUAUGAGGUAAAAACUAAGAGAAUUAAAAGAAAAAAAUAAACAAUCAAAUAACAUUAGUUGGAGACUUUAAUACUCCAUUUUCAGUAAGAGAGCUAGAUAGAAAAUCAGCAAGGAAAUAGAAAACUUGAACCAUAUACCAAUUGGAUCUAAGACAUAUCUAUCAAACACUUUGCCUAACAAAAUAAGAAUACUCAUUCCUCUCAAUUGCAUGUGGAAACUGUCUACAAUAGACACUAUAUUAGGCCACAAAACAAAUCAAAUAAAAUUUAAAAGGCUAAACUCAUAUAAAGUGUGUUCUCUUGACAAAAUGGAAUGAAGUUAGAAAUAAUAACAGAAAAAGAUUUGGAAAAUUUACAAACACAGAAAUUAACACACUCUCAAAUAACGAAUAGAUUAAAGGAAAAAAAAUCAUAGGGAAAUUAGUAAAUACCUUGAGACAAAUGAAAAGAAAAUUACCAUACACCAAAAGUUAUGGGAUGCAGUGAAAGCAGGGGUAAGAGGGAAAUUUGUAACUAUAGAUGUCUACUUACCUUCUAAGGAACAAAAAAAAUUCAAAUCAGUAACUUUAUUUUUCACCUUAAAAAACUAGAUGAAGAGCAAGAGAAAUCCAAAGCAAGUAAGAAAAUAAUACAGAUUAGAGGGAAAUAAAUGAAAUAAAAUAGAUAAAAGAGAAAAAAUAGAGAAGAUUGACAAAAUCCAAAGUGACUUUAUUAAAAAUUAACAUAACUUUAGGUAGAUUGACAAAGGAAAAAAAAAAAAGAUGGAGGACUUAAAUUACCAGAAUCAGAAAUGAAACAGGGAACAUUACUACUGAUCUUGUAGUAGUAAAAAGGAUUAUAAAGAAAUACAAUGAAUAAAUGUGUGCCAAGCAAUUACAUAACAUAGAUGAAAUGGACACAUUACUAGAAAUACAUAAACUACCAAAGCUGUCUCCAAAAAAAUUGAAAAAAUUAAGAGACCUAUAACAAGUAAAGACAAUGAAUUUAGUAAUCAAAAUCAUUCCAACAAAGCUCAGAUGGCUUAGCUUGUGAAUUCUACCAAAUAUUUAAAGAAGAAUUAAUAAUAAUCCUUUCCAAACUCUUCCAAAAAAUAGGAGAGGAGGGAACACUUAAAACUUUCUAGCUCAGUCUGAGGCACUGUUAUUCUGAUAUCAAAGCCAGACAAAGGUAUCACAGUGAAACUAAUGACCAAAAUAUCCUAUGAGGAUAAAUGCAAAAAUCCUCAACAGAAUACUGGCAAACUGAAUCUUAAAAGUACACAAAAAUGAUUAUAAACCAUGAGAAAGUGAGAUUAACCCCAGGAAUACAAGGUUGGUUCAUUGUACGAAAAUCAUUUACUUUACCAAUAGAUUCAAAGACAAAAACCACAUGAUCAUCUCAACAAAUGCAGAAAAAGCAUGUGGCAAAAUCCAACAUGAUUUCAUGAUAAGAACACUCAACCAAUAAGGAAAAGGAUAUUUCAAUCCGAUAAAGGACAUCUGUGAAACAACCAAAGCUAACAACAUACUUAAACUGAAAGUAUAUCCCCCCAAGAUCAGGGCCAAUACAAGUAGGCUUCAUUACUCUCACCACUGUAUUCAGCAUUAUAGUGGGGGUUCUAGCUGAGGCAAUUAGACAGGUAACAGAAGUUAAAAAAAAAAAAAAACAAAAAAAACAAAAAACAACAACCCAGAUUGAAAAGAAGAAAGUAAAACUACCUCCAU